rnacentral:rRNA from 1 species
ACGCUGGCGGCAGGCUUAACACAUGCAAGUCGAACGGUAACAGGGAUUAGCUUGCUAAUUUGCUGACGAGUGGCGGACGGGUGAGUAAUGCUUGGGAAUCUGGCUUAUGGAGGGGGAUAACUACGGGAAACUGUAGCUAAUACCGCGUAAAAUCUUAGGAUUAAAGGGUGGGACUUUCGAGCCACCUGCCAUAAGAUGAGCCCAAGUGGGAUUAGGUAGUUGGUUAGGUAAAGGCUGACCAAGCCGACGAUCUCUAGCUGGUCUGAGAGGAUGACCAGCCACACUGGAACUGAGACACGGUCCAGACUCCUACGGGAGGCAGCAGUGGGGAAUAUUGCACAAUGGGGGGAACCCUGAUGCAGCCAUGCCGCGUGAAUGAAGAAGGCCUUCGGGUCGUAAAGUUCUUUCGGUGACGAGGAAGGUUGAUAGGUUAAUAGCCUAUCAAAUUGACGUUAAUCACAGAAGAAGCACCGGCUAACUCCGUGCCAGCAGCCGCGGUAAUACGGGGGGUGCGAGCGUUAAUCGGAAUAACUGGGCGUAAAGGGCACGCAGGCGGUGACUUAAGUGAGAUGUGAAAGCCCCGAGCUUAACUUGGGAAUUGCAUUUCAUACUGGGUCGCUAGAGUACUUUAGGGAGGGGUAGAAUUCCACGUGUAGCGGUGAAAUGCGUAGAGAUGUGGAGGAAUACCGAAGGCGAAGGCAGCCCCUUGGGAAUGUACUGACGCUCAUGUGCGAAAGCGUGGGGAGCAAACAGGAUUAGAUACCCUGGUAGUCCACGCUGUAAACGAUGUCGAUUUGGGGAUUGGGCUUUGAGCUUGGUGCCCGUAGCUAACGUGAUAAAUCGACCGCCUGGGGAGUACGGCCGCAAGGUUAAAACUCAAAUGAAUUGACGGGGGCCCGCACAAGCGGU